rnacentral:lncRNA from 10 species
AUCGAAACCACAAUGAGAUACCAUCUCACACCAGUUAGUAAAUCAACAAGGGAGAAGAAGGUUUGAAAAACAUUAUUAAGCAAUUGGACCUAACAUACGUCUACAGAAGCCUCCAACUAACAACAGCAAAUGAUUUUUUCUCAGUUGCACAUUAAUAUUCUCCAUGAUAGACCUUAUGUUAGAACACAAAACAAGUCUUAAUAAAUUUUAAAUAAUUUAUACUACACAAAUAUAUUCUCCCACCGUAGUGGAAUAUAAUUACUAAUUAUUAAUAAAUGGAAA